UACGUGAGUGGCGAGCGUUAUCCGGAAUCACUGGGCGUAAAGGGUCCGCAGGGGGUGCGGUAAGUGCAAUGUUAAAUCUAUUGGCUCAACCGAUAGGCUGCGUUGUAUACUGCCGUGCUAGAGGUGUGCAGAGGUGAGCAGAAUUCCCGGAGUAGGGGUAAAAUCCGUAGAUACCGGGAGGAAUACCAAUAGCGAAGGCAGCUCACUGGGCACUACCUGACCCUCAGGGACGAAAGCGUGGGGAGCGAACCGG
rnacentral:rRNA from 1 species